rnacentral:tRNA from 1 species
ACUUUUUUAGUAUAUAAGUACAUUUGACUUCCAAUCAGAAAGACUAAAAAUUUUAGAAAAAGUA